UUCGCUUCUAUAUAUAGAGCGUCCGACGGAAAUUUCGUAUCUUUGGAAAGUAUUACUUUCAAAAAUCUUUUUUGUAUAAUAUUUAAAGGAGUUAAAUAACUUUUUGUUAAUCCGCCCCAACCCAGUAUUCCAUAAUUUAGAUGACUUUCGACAAGAGCAUGGUAAGAUGGUAUAUGACGUAGCUUCCGUAUUCAUCCUUAUACAGUCAAAAGGAGGUAAAUUGACCUUAGUGCAACUAAAAGCUCAUCCCAUGACUCCGAUUUAUAGAAUAUGGCAGUGUCAUCUGCAUAUCCAAUGAUCUCUCCUUUACUUGGAAUCGAAAACAAGUCAUUUAUAUAUAAGGAGAAAAGUAUGGGACCCAAAACAGUACCCUGUGGAACCCCAUAGUCUACCAGCAUUGGACUACUCAACGCACCAUUCACUCUUACGCACUGAUGUCUAUUUGAUAUGUAACUUUCAAAUAAUUUUAAACAAUUAUUUCUAAUUCCACAGUCCUCUAGCGACUGUAAGAGUAGAUGGUGGCUGACCGUGUCAAAUGCCUUCGAAAGAUCCAGGAAAACACACAAAGCAGGUUUACUUUCAUCCAAAGCAGAGUAAAAUUUCGA